rnacentral:rRNA from 1 species
GACGAACGCUGGCGGCGUGCUUAACACAUGCAAGUCGAACGGAAAGGCCCUGCUUUUGUGGGGUGCUCGAGUGGCGAACGGGUGAGUAACACGUGAGUAACCUGCCCUUGACUUUGGGAUAACUUCAGGAAACUGGGGCUAAUACCGGAUAGGAGCUCCUGCUGCAUGGUGGGGGUUGGAAAGUUUCGGCGGGUGGGGAUGGACUCGCGGCUUAUCAGCGUGUUGGUGGGGUAGUGGCUUACCAAGGCUGUGACGGGUAGCCGGCCUGAGAGGGUGACCGGCCACAUUGGGACUGAGAGACGCACCAGACUCCUACGGGAGGCAGUAGUGGGGAAUAUUGCACAAUGAGCGGAAGCCUGAUGCAGCAACGCCGCGUGCGGGAUGACGGCUUUCGGGUUGUAAACCGCUUUAGCCUGUGACGCAGCGUGAGUGACGGUAAUGGGUAAAGAAGCACCGGCUAACUACGUG